rnacentral:rRNA from 1 species
UACGUAGGGUGCAAGCGUUGUCCGGAAUUAUUGGGCGUAAAGAGCUCGUAGGCGGUUUGUCGCGUCUGCUGUGAAAACGCGAGGCUCAACCUCGCGCCUGCAGUGGGUACGGGCAGACGUGGAGUGCGGUAGGGGAGAUUGGAAUCCGUGGUGUAGCGGUGGAAUGCGCAGAUAUCAGGAGGAACACCGAUGGCGAAGGCAGGAAUCUCUGGGCCGUAACUGACGCUGAGGAGCGAAAGCGUGGGGAGCGAACAGG